rnacentral:pre_miRNA from 1 species
AGGAAGAUAUUCUGUACCAUUUUCGAACCUUUGUCAUAGGAUUACACACGCAGAAUUUUUUCUUGAUAAGACCAAUCACCUAACGUGAAAUCGCUGCGUGUGUAUUCCUAGACAAAAGGUUUGAAUGGAAGAUGCUCACACUAUC